GCGUCGGUACGUGUAGCGAUCGCCUCAAGUUCUCCUGACGGAUGGGGUUCGAUUCCCCGCUGGUGCA